GAUAAACGCUGGCGGCGCACAUAAGACAUGCAAGUCGAACGGACAGAAGCUCAUUCUUUACGAUUGAGUGGAUGUUAGUGGCGGACUGGUGAGUAACACGUAAGCAACCUGCCUAUCAGAGGGGAAUAACAGUGAGAAAUCAUUGCUAAUACCGCAUAUGCUAACAGUAUCGCAUGAUACAGUUAGGAAAGGAGCAAUCCGCUGAUAGAUGGGCUUGCGUCUGAUUAGCUAGUUGGUGGGGUAACGGCCUACCAAGGCGACGAUCAGUAGCCGAGCUGAGAGGCUCAACGGCCACAUUGGGACUGAGAUACGGCCCAGACUCCUACGGGAGGCAGCAGUCGGGAAUAUUGCGCAAUGGAGGAAACUCUGACGCAGUGACGCCGCGUAUAGGAAGAAGGUUUUCGGAUUGUAAACUAUUAGUCUGCAGGGAAGAAAAAAGACUAGUACCUGC
rnacentral:rRNA from 1 species